rnacentral:rRNA from 1 species
AGAGUUUGAUCCUGGCUCAGAGUGAACGCUGGCGGCGUGGAUUAGGCAUGCAAGUCGCGCGAUAUUUUAGAUGGAGAGGUUGAAACCGCAAGGUGGAUGCCAAUUUGUCUGAUUUAUAGCGGCAAACGGGUGAGUAAUACGUGAGCAAUCUGCCUCUAAGGCAAGCAUAGCUUCGUGAAAACGGAGGUAAUUCUUGAUGUUAUCCCGAUGGCGCAUGUUGUUGGGAUAAAAGGUGGGGAUCGUAAGACCUAUCGCUUAGAGAUGAGCUCGCGUCCUAUCAGCUUGUUGGUGGGGUAAUGGCCUACCAAGGCUUUUGACGGGUAGCUAGUCUGAGAGGAUGUUUAGCCACACUGGAACUGAGACACUGUCCAGACUCCUACGGGAGGCUGCAGUCGAGAAUCUUUAGCAAUGGACGAAAGUCUGACUAUGCGACGCCGCGUGAGGGAUGAAGGUUUUCGGAUCGUAAACCUCUUUCGCAGGGAAAGAAAAAAUUCCGGCUAAUAUUCGGAAUCUUGACGGUACCCUAAGAAGAAGCCACGGCCAACUCCGUGCCAGCAGCCGCGGUAAUACGGGGGUGGCAAGCGUUACUCGGAUUCAUUGGGUGUAAAGGGCAGGUAGGUGGCCUGACAAGUGAGGGGUGAAAUUCCGUUGCUUAACAGCGGAACUGCCUUUCAAACUAUCGGGCUUGAGAUUGGGAGAGGAGAAUGGAAUUCCCGGUGUAAGGGUGAAAUCUGUAGAUAUCGGGAGGAACACCAGUGGCGAAAGCGAUUCUCUAGACCAAAUCUGACACUGAGCUGCGAAAGCUAGGGGAGCAAACAGGAUUAGAUACCCUGGUAGUCC